rnacentral:rRNA from 1 species
GAUGAACGCUGGCGGCGUGCCUAAUACAUGCAAGUCGAGCGAACAGACGAGGAGCUUGCUCCUUCGACGUUAGCGGCGGACGGGUGAGUAACACGUAGGUAACCUACCUAUAAGACUGGGAUAACUUCGGGAAACCGGAGCUAAUACCGGAUAAUAUUUCGAACCGCAUGGUUCGAUAGUGAAAGAUGGCUUUGCUAUCACUUAUAGAUGGACCUGCGCCGUAUUAGCUAGUUGGUAAGGUAACGGCUUACCAAGGCAACGAUACGUAGCCGACCUGAGAGGGUGAUCGGCCACAAUGGAACUGAGACACGGUCCAGACUCCUAAGGGAGGCAGCAGUAGGGAAUCUUCCGCAAUGGGCGAAAGCCUGACGGAGCAACGCCGCGUGAGUGAUGAAGGUCUUCGGAUCGUAAAACUCUGUUAUUAGGGAAGAACAAACGUGUAAGUAACUGUGCACGUCUUGACGGUACCUAAUCAGAAAGCCACGGCUAACUACGUG